CCCGGCCCUGCGGCCCCCCAGACGGCGGACCCCGCCCCCAAGGGGGGGGACCAGGUAACCUGCUUCCGAGACGGCCAUGGCGUCACCCCACCCGCUCCCCCCCAAGUCUCAAUCAAUCUCACGUUUUCUGCCGGCUGGGAAGGAAGGAUUGGAGCGGUGAGGGGAGGUUCAUUUCGGCCGCCUGAAGUUUUCUUUCCAACUGGGAUUUGUGGCGAGGCCGGGCGGAGGGAGCGGGACGACGACCCGGGCGCCCGACGCGGAGCUCAGGCAUCGGCGUCCUGGCCGGAGCCGGGGUGUGCGCCGGGACCCACCCACUCAGGCUUCGCAAUAAACUGUGCGGUGCAAUUCAGAAAACGGCACCGGGGAGUCCAGGACACGAAUCAGGAUGAAUUGAGGGAAUGAAUUGAGAAGGAAAUUCAGGUCUGAGAUGAAGCUCAACUAUUUUGAAAGUGCUUUGCAGUGCAAGUUUAAAAUUAGAGUGUUGACUUGCUUUUACUCCCCAGGGCUUGUGCCGCAUUCACCAAAGUCAAAGGAGCGGGUGAGGGUCCAAAAAGUUGGUCCGGGGGAAGUGUCGCCGUCACUACCAGAUCAUGGUAUGUCCAACUCACCCCAAAGAAGUCAAGGUUAUGUUUACAUACUAAACCAGGGGUUCUAUUUCAUCCUCUACAGUCGAAUAAUCCUGGCUCUGAGACUCACAAUUGUACAUGUAGAAAGGAACCUUUGUAUAAACUAUAGUAAUUCACUGCA